rnacentral:rRNA from 1 species
GAGAGUUUGAUCAUGGCUCUGAUUGAACGUCGCGGAUGUUUACACAUGCAAUGAACGGCAGCACGACUUCGGUCUGCGGCGAGUGUGGCGAACGGGUGAGUAAUGCAUCGGAAAACGCCUAGUAGCGGGGAUAACUACGCGAAAGCAGAGCAUUACCGCAUACGCCCUUCGGGGAAAGCGGGGACCUUCGGGCCUCGCACUAUUAGAGCGGCCGAUAUCGGAUUAGCUAGUUGGUGGGUAACGGCUCAUCAAGGCGAUGAUCCGUAGUUAAUGAGAGGGACGACCAGCCACACUGGGACUGAGACACGGCCCAGACUCCUACGGAGGCAGGGAAUUUUUGGACAAUGGGGGAACUCCUGAUCUGCGCUAUCCUGGGCGUGUGCGAUGGAAGGCCUGGCUAGAAAGCACUUUUGGCAGGUGAAACGGCAUUGGAUAAUACCUCGCAACUGACGGUACCGGAGAAUAAGCACUGGCUAACUACGUGCCAGCAGCCGCGGUAAUACGUAGGGCAAGCGUUAAUCGGAAUUACCGGGUAAGCGUGCGUGCAGGCGGUUCGGAAAGAAAGAUGUGAAAUCCCAGAGCUUAACUUUUGGAACUGCAUUUUUAACUACCGAGCUAGAGUGUCAGAGGGAGGUGGAAUUCCGCGUAGCAGUGAAAUGCGUAGAUAUGCGGAGGACAACGAUGGCGAAGGCAGCUCCCUGGGAUAACACUGACGUUUCAUGCACGAAAGCGUGGGGAGCAACAGGAUGCCAGAUACCCCGGUAGUCCACGCCCUAAACGAUGCCAAUCUUACUGGUUGGGCCUUCGGGCUCGGUAGCGCAGUUAACGCGAAGUUGACCGCCUGGGGAGUACGGUCGCAAGAUUAAAAAACUCAAAGGACCACGGGGACCCGCACAAGCGGUGGAUGAUGUGAUUAAUUCGAUGCAACGCGUGAAAACCUUACCUACCCUUGACAUGUCUGGAAUCCCGAAGAGAUUUGGGAGUGCUCGCAAGAGAACCGGAACACAGGUGCUGUAUGGCUAAGCCGCCGCCUGUGUCGUGAGAUGUUGGGUUAAGUCCCGCAACGAGCGCAACCCUUGUCAUUAGUUGCCACGAAAGGGCACUCUAUCGAGACUGCUGCGGAAGGUCCGGAGAAGGUGGGGAUGCGACGCUCGGUCUCGGGCGGUCUUGCGGUAAAUACACGUCAUAAUGGUCGGGACAGAGGGUCGCCAACCCGCGAGGGGGAGCCAAUCCCAGAAACCUCGAUCGUAGUCCGGAUCGCAGUCUUGCAACUCGACUGCGUGAAGUCGGAAUCGCCAGUAACGCAGAUCGGCAUGUCGCGGUGAAUACGUUCCCGGGUCUUGUACACACCGCCCGUCACACCAUGGGAGUGGGUUUUACCAGAAGUAGUUAAAGCCUGAAUCCGCAAGGAGGAAGAUUACCACGGUAGAUUCAUGACUGGGGUAAAGUCGUACGGCAAACUCCC